rnacentral:rRNA from 1 species
GAUGAACGCUAGCGAUAGGCUUAACACAUGCAAGUCGAGGGGCAGCACAAGGUAGCUUGCUAUCUGGGUGGCGACCGGCGCACGGGUGCGGAACGCGUAUGCAACUUGCCCUAUACAGGAGGAUAACCCGUCGAAAGACGGACUAAUACUGCGUAUGCUCACAACUUGGCAUCAAGUGGUGAGGAAAGAAAUUCGGUAUAGGAUAGGCAUGCGUCCCAUUAGCUUGUUGGUGAGGUAACGGCUCACCAAGGCAACGAUGGGUAGGGGAACUGAGAGGUUUAUCCCCCACACUGGUACUGAGACACGGACCAGACUCCUACGGGAGGCAGCAGUGAGGAAUAUUGGUCAAUGGGCGCGAGCCUGAACCAGCCAAGUCGCGUGAAGGAUGACUGUCUUAUGGAUUGUAAACUUCUUUUAUACGGGAAUAACAAGAGUCACGUGUGACUCCCUGCAUGUACCGUAUGAAUAAGCAUCGGCUAACUCCGUG